UCGUAGAGCUUCGGCUCUUUCGAGGGAGAACCCUUGCCUUUCGAGCACCUGUUUGUUUCCUCGGCAGGCCCGCCUGCCAAUGGGGACCUUUUAACCCUUGCGAUAACCUGAACAAAAUCGUCUGAACAAAAAAAAAUCUAAAUCA
rnacentral:misc_RNA from 1 species